CCCACCUGCCUCCACUCCUCCGGUGUGGGUUGCGGCUGCUCCUCGGCAUCUGAGUCCACUUCCGACUCCGAGGACGAGGGCUCCUCCUUCUCCUUGAUCGCCGGGAAGCCCGCUUGCUGCCGGCACCUCUCCAGCUCCAGAUGCAAACACAAAGGGGAGGAAAUGCAGCCUUGACUGAGGAUGGCUGGAAUGGGAAAAACCUGACACCUGCUAUGACUGGCCACUCAAAGGAAGUGCCUGCUGAGGAAGGGCCCGUGAGGGCACGGGAGUGCCUUAUUUCAACCUGGACCUAAUCGGGAAGAUGCUCUUCUUGCCAAAGGGACCAGGUGUGGUUUCUCUCCCUGCCUCAGAGUCAUCGUGGUACUGGGACCAAGCUGACAAUGUAGAGAACACAAGCAGGAGGAAUUCUGAUCCUGAGCAAGAGUUGGUUCAGGCCACAGCGCAGACCUGGGGCAUCCAGCCAAAGGCAAGAGCAGCCAUUCCCAGCAUGCCCGAGUGCCGCAGCAUCCACAGGGAUAUCAAGAGAAACGUCUGGUUCACAAA